GGGCUGCUCUGAACAAAAUUCCGUUGAAGCAAAGCAGGAGUUCAGGGUGGUAACGGUUUCUCAUUGGCUGAGUGGUGGCAGUUUCUCGUUGGCUGGGCUGUUGCUGGGCAAGGAGGAAAUCUUUCUUCUUCCUGUUGGGGUAGUCCAGUGAAUUUCUUCCUGCCCAGGAAAGCAAAAGGAUCUGCGCUGGAAAGUUUGUGGGCUCUGCUCCCAGAGAGUCCUUGCUAUUCCGCCCAUUGAGUGGAGGGCCUUGAAUAUGACAAGCAUUAUGAGGCUAUAUGACUUCUGAGGCUAUGUCACAGAAGGCAAUACAGCUCCUGCCUGGUUCUUUCAGCCACUCUCCCAGGGCCCUGAGCACCAUGUAAGCAGCAUAACUGCUCUGAGAUCACCAUGCUAUGAGGAAGCCCAAAGUAGCCCAUGCAGAGACUACAUGGAAAGACCCAGAGACUAUGUGGGGAGAGAAAGAUGUCCAGCCAGCCUCCAGCUGCUCCAGCCCCCCCUGCUGUUCCAGCUGCAGCUACUGUCUAACUCAGAGCCACAACCACUCAACCAAGCCCUUCCCGAAUUCCUGGGCCCCAGAAACUAUGAACAAGAAUAAAAUGCUUUUUUGCUUUACAUCAUCAAGUUUUGAAUCUGGAACAUUCAUCCUUCAGAUUCUGCCUCUACUGACUCGGCCAGUUAUCCAGUUCCAACUCUCAUUCUCAGUUUGAGUAAUUUGGGAGAGACCCUGAAACAUGGUAAAUGCCUUUUAGGUAUGUUAUCUCUGUAAUCACCAAGCCCCAUGGUGUGUACACCUGGGAGGAGAGUUUUGUUGUUGUUGCUGUUGUUAUUGUUAAGUAUUCUACCCUAGACUCACUGAACCAGAAUCUCCAGGAAACAAUGAGCCAGGACUCGACCGAACUGUCCUACUCUCUGCCAUCAUCCUUAACCAUUUUUAUAAUUAUUAUACUUGUAUUGUAUUUCUAUACCCCAACAUAUGAAGGCAAAUUUAGAGACGGAUCCUUUGAGAAUUUCAUGUGAAGGGAGGGAUUAAUCAGAUUGCCCUGGCAAUCCGAGUAGCAUAAAAGAUUUAUUUACCUGCUCUUUAAACAUUUUCUCUCUUUAAACAUUACCUGCUCUUUAAACACUUUCGUAAGUAUAUUUCACUUGGCUCUGGAAACAAAACAGCUAAAUAUGUGCUAUCUAGAGUAAUAAUAAUUGAAACUCUGUGAAUUGUCUCCAAAAGAAAGAGAUAUUACAGAAUCAAUGAGGAGCCCUGAAUUUAAUCCUCCUAUAAAAAGUGCUAUAUGAUAGAGAAGAGAUACAAAAAUGGUUUGGAGCUGUUAUUUGGUGUUGAAAUAGCUUGGGGAAAGAAGGAAUCUAAUUUGGAAUCAAAAAUAACACAUAAUGUAUGAUGUGACAGCAUACAUCAAAAUCAAUGUUAAUCAGAUUAAAUUAUUAAAAGGGGAAAGAUAAACCAUGGUAACAUUAGAAAAGGAAAAUAUAUAUUUAUUAAGUUUUCUGAAGGGAGGAAAGUCAAAAGUUAAAAAUGAGUCAGCAAGGCUGUGUUCCUUCUAGAGUUUCUAGGGAUAAAUCUGUUUUCUUGCCUUUUCCAGCUGCUAGAGGCCUCCUGCAUUCCUUGUCUCAAGGCCCCAUCCUCCACCUUCAAAGCCAGUAGUGUAGUAACAUCUUCCUCUCUCUCUCUCUCUCUCUCCCUCUUUCUCCCUCACUACCCCCUGCUUCCAUCAUCACAUCUCUGACUCUGACCGCCUACUCCCCUCUUAUAAGGACCCUUGUGAUGACAUUGGGCCCACCUGGGUAAUUCAGAAUCAUCUUCCAAUCUCAAGAUCCUUAACCUAAUGACAUCUGCAAAACACCUGUUGCCAUGUAAGGGGAUACACUCACAGGCUCCAGAGAUUAGGACAUGGACACUCUUCAGAGGUCAUUACUCUGACUUCCACAGCUGUACAAAACGGUACUGACAUUGAUGGCUGUGUCAUAGAGACUGAUCUCCCUGAUGGCUGAGAGGAGUCUUAGAGCGGCUAUUCCAUAGUUCCCUGAGCCACUCCUUUCAACAUACAACAGAACUUGUUGAGUGGGGAUAGUCCCAUUCUGAUCCACUUUGUUGACAGAAUCUUGCUCUGAGGAGCUAUUAGCUCUUGUUGGGGUUCACCAGGAACUUAAUAUCACAACAAAGUCCCCUCCACUCCCACCCCAGUGUCCUGGGGAACAAGGACUCGUUGAUCAACUCCCAGUGACAUUUAUUCUAUUUAUUCCACCUGUGAACAGAGUAGUCGAUGAAAACCCAAGGGCCGCUGUUUUCUAGGGAUGUCUCACAAACUGUGAACACAAACAAAUCUAUAGAAAGACACAAACCGUGGGAUCAUAAGAAAUCUAUGAGCUGAUGAGCCUGCACGAUGAGCUAAGCAUGAGUCUAAGAGCUUUGUGUAUGAUACUUACUACCUAAUUUAACUUCACACUGACUUUAUGAGGCACGUGCUAUUCUUUUUUAAUUUUUUUGUUUAUUUAUUUUUGAGAGAGAGACAGAGUGUGAGUGGAGGAGGAGCAGAGACACCAGGAGACGCAGAUUCCUUAGCAGGCUCCAGGCUCUGAGCUGUCAGCACAGAGCUCUAUACGGGGCUCGAACUCACCGACCGCAAGAUCACCACCCUGGGUGAAGUUGGACGCUUAACCGAGUAAGCCAUCCAGGCGCCCCAGAGGCACGUGCUAUUCUUAUCCUUAUUUUACAGAUGAAGAAAAUGAGCCAUGAUGAAUUUUGAAUUAUUAAAGAUCUAAAGACCAAGUGUAUUUGUCCAUAGGCAUCAGGCACACCCUGCAUUUGUCACAGGAAGAAAUAACUCAAAAAGAACCUGUGACUCUAUCUCCAGAAGCUACCUCUUGCCAGCGAAACUAAUAGGGUACAUUGCCUAUUUAAAUGUGAAUUUAAAUAAAACAUUUUCUCUACC